UGUGGAGCUCGCCGCCGUCGGAAUCACGAGCUGAAGUGGGGAAGGAGGCCAUCUUCCCUAUGUUGUUGCAGUCACCAGUCACCAUGCUGUUACUGCUUUUCUUUUUCCUUAAUUGCUGGACUGUUGAAGCUACAACUGGUUCUGUAGUGGCUUGUUGCUGCCACCAAUGCUGAUUUAUGGUAGCAUGAUCAGGCUACGAUGUUGAGGCUGCAGUCCAGCCUACUGUCUCGCCAAAAUUCUGCCUUCGGUUUCUUUUAAUUGCGACAUUAAGGAAUCGGAGGAAGGAGUAUUGUGAAGAGUUAUACUGCAUUUUUGGUUUAUAUGAUAUUGUAUUGAUUAGAUAAUUUUUCUUCCCUCGUCUCUGUUAUUACAAUCUUGUAAGAGGGAUAGGAGUUGUUUGUUUUAUAUGUAUAUUACAUUAUAAGCUAUUAUGUAAGAAGUCUUGUAUGUGAAUCCAUGCCUGUUUGUUCUUUUUUAAGA